rnacentral:misc_RNA from 1 species
UUAACUAUUAUAUAGUACUCGGACGACACUAAUACUCAGGGUUUGGGGUCCUCUGGCGGGCGCUCGCCAGCGUGAGCCGGUGGCUAGGCCUGAGCCUAGCGGCCCGCCAAAGCAACAAAGGUAACGAUAGCAUAGGGUGGGAGGUCUACCCCGAAGGGCAUGAGCUCGGUAAUGAUCCCUCCGCAGGUUCACCUACGGAGA